AAGGAGGAGGGAGGAGGAGCUUAGGAAGGAGGGAGGAAUACCAUGGGGGCACCUAAAUGAGACACCAGAAAUGAGCAGAUGGAAGCUACAAACAAUAUAUGACAGGGAGGGGCCAAGCAAGUCAUUUUUCCAAGGGUGUGUCAGUCAUGUCAGGUCUGCAAGAGAACUAUGAACCUGAUGUGUUCCUUAGACAAGAAGCAGAAGGUUAUUGGGUAUAGAAGUCCUGAACCAGGAAAAGAUACAUUGAGCCAGGAGCUGCAGAGAGACAUCUGAAAGGCUAUGUUACUAUUAGAGGAGCUAGGCUCAGACCUUGACUUAGAACAGUGAUAGCAAACGCACAGUUACUCUCUACCCCAUGCCCAUGGCAGACAUCACUUACACUUUCUCGCUGAAGCCAGAGGCAGCCUCAGAAUCUUUCUUAGCUUGGAUCUCAGUCCUAAUACUUAUUGAUCAGAGUUGACAGACGAGAUGAAAUCUAUUUGCUAUCCCUGGUUUAGAACAGGGAUACAAGAACAAGAGGUAAAAGAACCAAACAUUGGUUAGAAAGGCACACACAUUAGUAUCUUGAAAAAGCACCAAGGGCAAGUUGAGUAGAACAGAAAGAUUUGGGCAAGAAAGAAAGGAAGGACUUCCAGGGUCUGAGGCCAAGGGGGUAUCCAGGAAGUUGCAGGAAAUGACACUAGCCAGGCUGAGGUCUAGAGGGAGAACUUAGCAAAUGUUUCCUCAUGUCUCUAUGGCUUUAAUGGGAUUAUGGGCCCAUCCUGAACUGAUCACUGUCAUCACAUGUGGGCUCUGCUGAUUGGUUUAAGUUAAUAAAGCCCACCUGUAGAGCAAAGGGCAUUCCCACCUAAACCUCAUGACUAAGAGUCAGCAAGAGGUGGCUUCCCGAAGGAACUGGGGUACCCCUCCCAUGAAGGAAGAGACGUAAUGCUGAGGAAUAACAACAGGCUUUACCUACACUGGCUGUGUCCACACGUCUGCUGUGUCUGCAUCUCCAUUGCUGCCCCGCAAAUACGUUCAUCAGUACCAUCUUUCUAGGCAAUCAUGAAUAUUCUUUGUGGAUCUUUUUUAUAUUCUCUAAAUUUUCUAUAAUGUUUAUCUAUGGCUUUUGUUAUAAAAAUACAGCAGAGAUAUUUUGAACUAAAAAACUAUAUCCGUUACAUCUGUAACUC
ensembl:lncRNA